GUAGUAGGUGAGUGAUGGGGUGACGCAGGAAGGUAGUCCAGCCCGGGCGGUGGUUGUCCCGGGGUAAGGGUGUAGGCCGUGUGAUAGGCAAAUCCGUCACACAUUAAGGCUGAGACCUGAUGCCGAGCCGAUUGUGGUGAAGUGGAUGAUCCUAUGCUGUCGAGAAAAGCCUCUAGCGAGUUUCAUGGCGGCCCGUACCCUAAACCGAAACUUCGGGAGAAGGGGGGCCAUUUCCGGUGAUGAGACUUGCUCUCUGAGCUGGGGGUGGCCGCAGAGACCAGCGAGAAGCGACUGUUUACUAAAAACACAGGUCCGUGCGAAGCCGUAAGGCGAUGUAUACGGACUGACGCCUGCCCGGUGCUGGAACGUUAAGGGGACCGGUUAGCUCCAUUUCGGUGGGGCGAAGCUGAGAACUUAAGCGCCAGUAAACGGCGGUGGUAACUAUAACCAUCCUAAGGUAGCGAAAUUCCUUGUCGGGUAAGUUCCGACCUGCACGAAUGGCGUAACGACUUCUCGACUGUCUCAACCAUAGGCCCGGUGAAAUUGCACUACGAGUAAAGAUGCUCGUUUCGCGCAGCAGGACGGAAAGACCCCGGGACCUUUACUAUAGCUUGAUAUUGGUGUUCGGUUCGGCUUGUGUAGGAUAGGUGGGAGACUGUGAAGCAUGCACGCCAGUGUGUGUGGAGUCGACGUUGAAAUACCACUCUGGUCGUGCUGGAUGUCUAACCUAGGUCCGUGAUCCGGAUCAGGGACAGUGUCUGGUGGGUAGUUUAACUGGGGCGGUUGCCUCCUAAAGAGUAACGGAGGCGCCCAAAGGUUCCCUCAGCCUGGUUGGCAAUCAGGUGUUGAGUGUAAGUGCACAAGGGAGCUUGACUGUGAGACCGACGGGUCGAGCAGGGACGAAAGUCGGGACUAGUGAUCCGGCGGUGGCUUGUGGAAGCGCCGUCGCUCAACGGAUAAAAGGUACCCCGGGGAUAACAGGCUGAUCUUCCCCAAGAGUCCAUAUCGACGGGAUGGUUUGGCACCUCGAUGUCGGCUCGUCGCAUCCUGGGGCUGGAGUCGGUCCCAAGGGUUGGGCUGUUCGCCCAUUAAAGCGGUACGCGAGCUGGGUUUAGAACGUCGUGAGACAGUUCGGUCCCUAUCCGCUGUGCGCGUAGGAGUCUUGAGAAGGGCUGUCCCUAGUACGAGAGGACCGGGACGGACGAACCUCUGGUGUGCCAGUUGUCCUGCCAAGGGCAUGGCUGGUUGGCUACGUUCGGGAGGGAUAACCGCUGAAAGCAUCUAAGCGGGAAGCCUGCUUCGAGAUGAGGACUCCCACCCACUUGAUGGGGUAAGGCUCCCAGUAGACGACUGGGUUGAUAGGCCAGAUAUGGAAGCCGGGUAACCGGUGGAGUUGACUGGUACUAAUAGGCCGAGGGCUUGUCCUCAGUUG
rnacentral:rRNA from 1 species